rnacentral:rRNA from 1 species
CGCCUGUUUAUCAAAAACAUCGCCUUUUGCCUUUCAAUAAAAUAAAGGUACAACCUGCCCAGUGAGACAUUUCAACGGCCGCGGAACCCUGACCGUGCUAAGGUAGCAGCAAUCACUUGCCCUUUAAUUGGGGGCUAGUAUGAAUGGUCAAACGAGGGUGAACCUGUCUCAUUAAGGCCUUACCAAAAAUUAUCCUCCACGUGAAGAGACCUGGAUAUAAUAAAAAGACGAGAAGACCCUGUCAAGCUUUACACUGCCCGGGCCUAUCAAUUACUAGCCCAGCCACGUGUUUUGUUGGGGCAACACAGGAACACACGCUUCCUCACUAUAACUUCAACUUCACUAAACAAUCCGACAGCGUCGAAUAAAGACAAAGCUACUGCAGGGAUAACAGGCUAAUCUGCUUCGAGAGCCCACAUUGACAAGCAGGCUUGGCACCUCGAUGUUGGCUUAAGAACCCUUAUUGGGGCAGCCCCCAAUAGAAGGAGGUUUGUUCAACCUAUAAUUUCUUACGUGAUCUGAGUUUCCAGACCGGA